GCCUCCUCGCGCGACUGGCGACCUUGGAUGGAGCACCAUCGGGAAGCGCGAAACGACCUGCCGUUCGCCUGGGCGAUCGGG
rnacentral:ncRNA from 2 species